CCUUGCCCUGGGGGCUGUGCCCUGUGUAGGGGGAUAGGUGGCCUGAUCUACACCCCUGGGAUGCCAUUCUUCCUGUCUGGCUGGCAGGCCCCUGAGCCCCAUGCUGCAGGUUAUGUGAGGGAGUGCCUGAUAGCAGGGCCCCUCCUCAUGCCCCAACCUGCUGCCCCCUCCUCAUAUCUCCUGUGUCUGCAGUGGGUGAAUGGGGUCGACACGCUAGAGCAUGAGGGACCGACAGCAGCAGUCUGGUCCAGGUGGCCCCUGUCCUCCUGCCCCCGCAUCACUAUCACCAUCAAUAAUACGCUCACCCUGACACCAGGGACCAUCUGCUACAUGAUCAACACCUCCAAGUGGAUACCAUCCUGUCUCCACCGCACGCACCUACCUUCCCAUCCCACCCUGUGGUCUUCCUGCUAGGGACAGGGUGGCCUUGGCAGAGUGGAGGCCCUGGAUCUGAGGAGGCCUGUGAGCUGAGGUCAAGGGACUCAAGGCAAGGGCCCAGCGAACCACUGUCCUCCGACCCUAGGUAUCCCAAGGGUUACUUUGUCCAGAACACAGACUUUGACUUCUUCAACUACGCAGGACUGCGGCGGUCUGUGCUUCUGUACACGACACCUACCACCUACAUCGAUGACAUCACCAUCACCACCGGCGUGGAGCACGACAGUGCUGGGAGAAAAACAAAAUAGAGAGAAACCUGUUGGAGACCAGCCUGGCCAACAUGGCAAAACCCCAACUCUACUAAAAAUACAAAAAUUCACCAGACGAGGUGGUACACGCCUAUGAUCCCAGGGCUGGUGAAUUACCAGAUCUCCUCAAGUGCAGCAACCAGAUCCAGCUGGAAGUGCAUCUUUUGGAGGCAGAAAACAAAGCCGUGGCCACUGGGGCCUUUACUCAGGGCCAGCUGAAGGCAGCUUUUCAACAAUGUGUCUGUGCAUCAACACAUGUGGGUGAUGGAGGAACUGGUGUGCAGGGACAAGAACCACCCCGCCGUGGUGAUGUCGUCUGUGGCCAACAAGCCUGCAUCCUACCUGGAAUCUGCCGGCUACUGCUUCAGGUAAGGGACAAAGGACAGAACUAAAAGUCAUCCCUCUGCGCCCUGGAGACAAAAGCAUAUCUGACUGCUUCCUGUACUUUGUGUUUAUUUACCUUAUGUAAAAAUGCAGAUUCACUGAGUGCAAGAUGAAUGCAUAAUUGACUAUUCUUCCACCCUUUCCUUUCCACAUGUAAAAUGUGAAUUCUGUAAAUGCUGAUCAAAGACUCAAAGGAACACAAUUGCUUGUCUCUUCAAUUUGCUUUC